UGAUCUGGCUCAGAUUGAACGCUGGCGGCAGGCCUAACACAUGCAAGUCGAGCGGUAGCACAGAAGAGCUUGCUCUUUGGGUGACGAGCGGCGGACGGGUGAGUAAUGUCUGGGAAACUGCCUGAUGGAGGGGGAUAACUACUGGAAACGGUAGCUAAUACCGCAUAACGUCGCAAGACCAAAGUGGGGGACCUUCGGGCCUCAUGCCAUCAGAUGUGCCCAGAUGGGAUUAGCUAGUAGGUGAGGUAAUGGCUCACCUAGGCGACGAUCCCUAGCUGGUCUGAGAGGAUGACCAGCCACACUGGAACUGAGACACGGUCCAGACUCCUACGGGAGGCAGCAGUGGGGAAUAUUGCACAAUGGGCGCAAGCCUGAUGCAGCCAUGCCGCGUGUAUGAAGAAGGCCUUCGGGUUGUAAA
rnacentral:rRNA from 1 species